UACGUAGGGUCCGAGCGUUGUCCGGAAUUACUGGGCGUAAAGAGCUCGUAGGUGGUUUGUCGCGUUGUUCGUGAAAACUCACAGCUCAACUGUGGGCGUGCGGGCGAUACGGGCAGACUAGAGUACUGCAGGGGAGACUGGAAUUCCUGGUGUAGCGGUGGAAUGCGCAGAUAUCAGGAGGAACACCGGUGGCGAAGGCGGGUCUCUGGGCCACUACUGACGCUGAGAAGCGAAAGCAUGGGGAGCGAACAGG
rnacentral:rRNA from 1 species